UACGGAGGGUGCAAGCGUUUGUCCGGAAUCACUGGGCGUAAAGGGCGCGUAGGCGGCUCAUGAAGGCUGUGGUGAAAGUCCGGGGCUCAACCUCGGAUCGGCCGUGGCGACUCGUGGGCUGGAGCACUGUAGAGGCGGGUGGAAUUCCGGGUGUAGCGGUGGAAUGCGUAGAGAUCCGGAAGAACACCAGUGGCGAAGGCGGCCGCUGGGCAGUGGCUGACGCUGAGGCGCGACAGCGUGGGGAGCAAACAGA
rnacentral:rRNA from 1 species